AUACUUACCUGGCAGGGGAUGUUCCAUGAUCACGAAAGUGGUUUUCCCAGGGUGAGGCUUAUCCAUUGCCCACUGGAUGCGCUGACCCCUGCGAUUUCCCCACAUGCGAGAAAUUGGCUUGCUUAAUUUGUAGUAGUGGGGGACUGUGUUCGCGCUUUUCUCUG
ensembl:snRNA U1 U1 spliceosomal RNA